rnacentral:rRNA from 1 species
CUACGGGUGGCAGCAGUAGGGAAUAUUGCUUAAUGGGCGAAAGCCUGAAGCAGCAACGCCGCGUGUACGAUGAAGGCCUUCGGGUUGUAAAGUACUUUUUGCAGGGAUGAGGAAGGACAGUACCUGCAGAAUAAGCCUCGGCUAACUACGUGCCAGCAGCCGCGGUAAAACGUAGGAGGCGAGCGUUAUCCGGAUUUACUGGGCGUAAAGCGCGUGUAGGCGGAUUGGUAAGUUAGCUGUGAAAGCUCCCGGCUUAACUGGGAGAGGUCGGUUAAUACUGUCAGUCUAGAGUAUGUGAGAGGGAAGUGGAAUUCCGGGUGUAGUGGUGAAAUGCGUAGAUAUCCGGAGGAACACCAGAGGCGAAAGCGGCUUCCUGGCACAUAACUGACGCUCAGACGCGAAAGCUAGGGGAGCGAACGGGAUUAGAUACCCUAGUAGUC